rnacentral:rRNA from 1 species
GUCCUAGCCGUAAACGAUGGACACUAGGUGUCGGCUCCGUUAGGAGUCGGUGCCGUAGCCAACGCGUUAAGUGUCCCGCCUGAGGAGUACGGCCGCAAGGUUGAAACUCAAAGGAAUUGACGGGGGCCAGCACAAGCGGUGGAACAUGUGGUUCAAUUCGAUGCUACGCGAAGAACCUUACCCAGGCUUGACAUGCUUGAAGUAGGAACCUGAAAGGGUGACGACUCGUAUCCAGUCGAGAACUUGCACAGGUGCUGCAUGGCUGUCGU